CAAUUUCUGCAGAGGUCAGAUUACAAGAAGACAGGCUUUGAAAGCUUGGAGGAGUUCGGAAAUGACUAUUAAACUCCCUCCUCCCCUCUUACAUUUGUCUGAUUGUUUGGCUUAAGCAGCCAAGAAAGAUGGGUAUGGAGUAUAGAAGAUGUAACAGAAUCCAUUCCAACUUGUAACUUGAGAUUUGGCUGGAUGAGAUAACACCAAAGACAAUUGGAUCAAAGACGGAGAAAUGGGGCUGUAUCAUCAUGUUCCAUAAAAAGGCAAUGGUUUUAAAAAUUGUUGCCACAUUGAGGAAUCAAGGGUUUUGUAGGCCCACAGAGAGACCAACGUUGUGCUGAAUAAUGAUCUUGGUGAUUGAAGAUUCAGCCAGGAGACAGACCUCUUCAGAAAAUCAGUGGAUGUGGUUUGUAUGAAUAAGAGCUGUAUCACCAAUCUCCACCAUCAAUAAACUUUCCUGAUACAGCCAUUUACAAUAGAAGAGGAGAAUUUGGCAACUAUUUCCUGUUGACAGAAGAAAAUAUUCAUAACAGAUGGAAGUAAGGGGAGAAUUUUAUUCAUUUUUGUUUUAGUCAUUUUCUUUAGCUCUAGGCAUUACAUGUAUUCAUUCUAAAUAUACUUUUGAAACGUUGCAUUUGUUAAUUGGUUCCGGCACCUUUUCUGAACACGCACAUCUUUAAUCCUGCAAAGCUGAACAAACUGAAAUAACAACUAUCUAAGGCAUUCGUAUUUAGCAUUUAUACUAUUCCUUAGCGUGCUCAAAGUGCCUUACAUACAUUAGCGUGUAUUGCUCUAUCCUACAAAGUGAGUGUACCCUUGGAAGCAAUAAAACUUAUUAUGUGAACUG